GGUCCCAUCGUCUAGUGGCCUAGGACAUCAGGUUUUCAUCCUGAAAACAGGGGUUCGAUUCCCCUUGGGACUACCA
rnacentral:tRNA from 1 species